AAGGUCCUGACCCUCGCUCUCCGGUGUGAGGUCUGUGUGGCGGCAGUUGGUUCCUGGAGGCCGCGGAGGUGGGACCUGCGUGUGUCGGUGCGUGGACAGGGUCCAGCUGCGGCCAGAUGUGACGUCCUGUGAGCGGGCAGAAUGGGGGUCGUGACGGGGGCAGGGAAAGCCGGUUGAGCAAGACUCUGGCGUUUGGGAAAUCUAACGCAACGUUUAUUGGGAGUCCGCAGGCGGGGACCCGGGAAACAUUUCCUCAGGGAAGGAUUUCAAGUGCUCAGACUGGUGUGUGGACCAAGCAUUAUUCAUCUGCCUCCAAAUUGCCCAGGCCUCUGCUUCCAGUCCUGUCCCUCUUCCUGGAAGUGGCUUCUUGGGCUCAGAGACGACAUUCCCUUAGACUUGCAGAAACUGGAGAAGGAAAUGGUGAGUUCUGUGGAGAACUGGGUUAUCCUUAGCAUAAGUGGGUGAGGCUGGAUCUGAAUUGUUGGGGGAGCAGCUGUGUGCUGCGGGGCUGUGGUUCCUCAAUGAAGAGAAAAGGUAGCAGAGGAGGCGGAGGGACUGAGGCCCAGGAGGCACCAUGAGGCCCUGCUUCUCUGUCACUGGGCCCUUCCCCUAUACACAUGUGGCUUUUCAGGAUUUAGAUGCCUGCAGUGACCUUCCUUAUGUGACUCUCAGAGCUGCCACCCUGGGGUGUUAACAUCUUCACCCCGGGACUUUGUGCUCUGUGUUGAAUGACAAAGUCUCCUGACCAGAGCCUGAAGAUGGAGCAUCUCUGGCUGUGGAGGCUGGGCCCCGCCAUCCAGAGCCAUCCUUGUCCUGUCUCUCUGACCAAUGUUCUUGACUCCCCCCAGGCACUGAAACAUUUUCAGUGCCGUUCUGAAACUACACCUGCAGCUGUGACACUGUUUUAUGGGUUAGAAAAGGAGAGGAGAGUUCGUAGGGAAGGCCCUGAGUGUUUAUGGGGUCCUGGGUGUUGGUGGUGCUCUCCUGAUGUCACAAAAAGGCAUGAAGCUGGGGACAGUGAGUCCAGCUGGAUCCUGUCUGCGUUCUCCAAGCCCAUUUUUACCCCCACUGGGGAAGGCUUUUGCCUUGAGGCUUUCAGGUAUGUGGAAAGCAUGACUCCGCAGUCUUGGUCCUCGUCCUCCCACCUGUGACUCGAGCUGUGUGUAAUCCCUAUGAUUGUUGAUGUUCUCCCUAGUCUUAAAUUAGAAUCUAAAAUAAAGUAUUCUCUAAGCAGAAGAGAUGUGUGUGUUUAAAUUCUUGGAUUUACAGUUUCCAGUGGAUGAAAAUUUCUAGAUCACUAGUUGUGUUUCUACUGAGAAUUUUUCAAUUUAAUGGAUAUAAACUUCUUAAACACAAAGGAAUGCAUAUUUUUAACUUACGUAAAAGUUUCUCUAAAGCUUACUUAAAUCUGCAGAAAGUUCUCAUUUCCUGCCUAUAGAUUGUUAUCAUCUAUUUUUAUAAGUUUAUGACCAUUACUGAUAUUAUUCCCAGUAUCAUAGCUUUACCACCGAGGUCUGAAUCCGUAAACUCUGUGUUGUUUAGUUUUGCCUCUUUUGAGCUUUCUGUUAUUACUGUGUCUGUGUUCUUCAGUGACUUGUAAUCUGUUCUGAAGGUUAUAGUCUGAUCUUCAUCAGAAAAUGCUUCAACUUCUCUUCUUAGUUUCAGUAAGCAAGAUUGUGUUAUCUGCAUUGCCCAGGUGGUUUUUCAGUCUUCCUCUAAUCCUGAUGCUGUGUUCUGUUUCAUAUCGUCCAGAUUCUCUGGUUAUUUGCUCAGCGUACAGUUUGGGUAAGUAUGGUGAAAAGAUAGAACACACCUGACACACACCUUUCCUGACUUUAAAACUACGGUAUUCCCUUGUUCUGUUUGAACGACUGCCUCUUGGUCUGUGUGCGGUUUCUACGGGAGCACAGUUAAGUGUUCUGGAAUUCCCAUUCUUCGUAAUGUUAUCCAUCAUUUUUAUGUUCCAUAUAGUCGAAUGCUUUUGCAUAGUCAGUGAAACACAGGUAAACAUCUUUCUGGUAUUCUCUGCUUUCAGACAGCAGCUGUGAUAUCUCUUGUUCCAUGUGGUCUUCUGAAUCUGGCUUACAUUUCUGGCAGUUCCCUGUUGAAGUACUGCUGCAACUGCUUUUGAAUGAUCUUCACAAAAUUUUCUUGCAUGUGGUAUGAAGGAUGUUGUUCGAUAAUUUCCACAUUCUGUUUUAUCACCUGUCUUUGGAAUAGGCCUGAAUAGGGAUCUCUUCCAGUUGCUUGGUCAGGAAACGGUCUUCCAAACUUCUUGGCAUAGACGAGUGAGCGCUUCCAGCGCUGCAUCUGUUGGUUGAAACACCUCAAUGGGUAUUCCAUCAAUUUCUGGAUGGCUGUAUUUCGCCAGUUCUUUCGGUGCAGCUUGGACUUCUUCCUUCGGUACCAUUGGUUCUUGAUCCUAUGCUAACUCCUGAAAUGAUUGAAUGUCGACCAGUUCUUUUUGGUACACUUACCGUGUUUUCCUUUAAUCUUCUUUUGAUGCUUCCUGCAUGAUUCGAUAUUUUCCCUGUAGGGUCCUUCAGUAUUGCAGCUCGAGGCUUGAAUUUUUUCUUCAGUUCUUUCAGCUUGAGAACUGUCAAGCAUGCCCUUCCCUUUUCGUUUUCAAACUCCAGGUCUUUGGACAUUCGUUGUAAUACUUUGUCUUCUGGAGCUGCCCACUGAAAUCUUCUGUUGCGCUCUUUUCUUUCAUCAUUUCUUCCAUUUGCUUUAACUAUUGUUUGUUCAAGAGUAACUUUCAGAGUCUCUUCUGACAUCCGCUUUAACUAUUGUUUGUUCAAGAGUAACUUUCAGAGUCUCUUCUGACAUCCGCUUUAACUAUUGUUUGUUCAAGAGUAACUUUCAGAGUCUCUUCUGACAUCCGUUUUGGUCUUUUCUAUCUUUUCAAUGAUCUCUUGCUUUCUUCGUGUAUGAUGUUCUUGAUGUCAUUCACAGCUCGUCUGGUCUGUGGUCUUUAA